ensembl:lncRNA
CCUUCUGUAGAGGAAGGAGAUGACAUAGAUGAGCAUGAGAGACAACCAGGUGUAGAUGAGCCCCCAGAUAGAAAAGGUCCAUCCGGCCGGAGUUAUGUCGGUUUCAUACUUCUUGGAAAUGUUCCCUGUACUCGAAUGGAAUGGUCCUAGGAGAGAGGAGAUUGCAAAACAAGUACAGCAAAACUUAGGGAAACUAGUGUUGCAUCAGUCAGUUAUGUAGUCUCAAGCACCAGACUUCCUCCCUUGGGGACAAGGUUGUCAUUGACUUUGUGUAAUAGGGUGGCUUCUGCAUGUCCCUUGCUAAACAUAAAGCUAGGAACUUUUAAUGCUUCUACUUAAGAAUAGAAUAAUGUGCAGCUGUGCUGCCAAUAAAAUGUUAUUUCCUGUCGUACAGUUUAGUAUGAAAAGCCAUAUAGGAAGCGCUACACAGUUAGAACAUAGCAAGUUACACAACACUGCGUUCACAUGAGUUAGCGUUAGCUAAGUUACAUGAGACUCACCUUUUCCAGCGCCUGCCAUGGCAUUAAUUGCUAAAGCAGAAAUGUAAAUCAGCACAGACAGUGCAAUGACCACAAUACGAGGAAGGCUUCUAUCUUCCAUUAUUUUUUAACUACACCAGCUACAGUGUAUCGAGAUAACUGGCUAGUUUAGUCGAUAGAUGAUCUUGAAAGUCCACACUGGGUGGUGUUUGUUUACACUCCUUAUAUUGUUACCCAACCAAUCUUCUUCGGGAAUUUCUUGCCUGCUGCAUGUCCACUGUCAACAAUAGGCAUAGCACCACCUGCUGUGCAGGAGAAGCCUAUACAAAAACAAAAGACUCAACUGGAAUGGUUGUCUUAUUUUCACUGUCCAUGUGUCAAAUGAUAACUCAUUAUUUGGGGAUUUAUCAUUUUUGGUGUUAUCAAAUCAAAAGAACACGCUGACUUGCUUUAUUCGGCCAAGUAGUUGCAAAGUAGGAAGCACCAUCAUCCAACCAAUCAGAUGAGGCAGUGAUAGCCCCGUCAUUUUCAAAAUGGCAGCAACAUUGCAAAUAAGCGAGUUUGAUAGUGAAGACCAAAUAAUUAAAGAAAUAGCAAAACAAGAAGAGACAACGUCGUUGAAAUACAUAAUCUUGCGCAAAGACAAACGUUUUGGGCGAAAGGAUGCACACCCUUUGGAAGGAAAGAAGAUCAGCUGGGAGGUAAAAAGUCACCCAUUCAAUGGAGUUCCAUUUCAGGUUGUGGGCACAAGCACAUAUGAAUGCCAUCAGGGGAAAGACCGACAAGUAAAAGCUAAAGAGAAACAUGCUGCUAAAAUGAACAAGAAGGCGCUUGAAGACCAUGCCUUAAAGAGACGGAAACAAAAUACAAAGAAGGUGGACUGCAAGGCUUUAAUAAACAUCGCCCACAUUAUCCGCUUUCCUGGUUUUAAGAUUGAGGAGAGUACUGUGCGCUCUAAAAAGGAGGCCUCCAAAGAUCUGAAGGCAGCUCUAAGUGAAAAACCAAGCUCUGUGAAGGCAGAGGUUGUCUACUGUGUCAGGUUCCCCUCUCUCUCUGAGCAUAGCUCACACGCACUUGUUGGUGAGAGGUCCUCUAAGAAGAACUUGAAGAUGUUGCAGAAGCAAUGUGCAGGCUAUCUAAAAGAAAUCACAGACCUCACCUAUCAUCUUCAAGAUGAACAGUACAUGACUGGCCUGUCUUCACAUCUGCAAAGCCUAUUGCAGGAAAUGAAAGGACUUGUCCCACAGGAUAAAGAUCUCACACUGACCCUUUCCCCAAGGAAGAGAAAGGCUGAGGAGGACAUGGCCACCCUACCAACCCAGGGAGCAUCGCAACCUUUCACCGACAGUGUAGGACAGCAUGCAGAUUUACAGAACACAUGCGAAGAACCAUGUUUGCCAAAUUGAGUGUGGAGUGAGAUUGCUUAUAGGCAGGGAGCCUAGGGCGCCGGAGGAUGGCAGUGUAUAUAUAUAUAUAUAUAUAUAUAUAUAUAUAUGUAUAUAUGUGUUGAGUCUGUUUUUUUCCCCAGAAUAUUUUAUUUUUGAGAGCUGGGUUUUGUGGUAACCCAAGCCUGCCAGCAUACUUGUUGUACAAUUAAUAUUAAAAUGGUAAUAAAAUAAAAAUACAAUUGGGUGAUAAUCCUGUAUGCAGUGGUGGAAAAAUAACCCAAUUGUCAUACUUGAGUAAAAGUAAAGAUGCCUUAAUAGAAAAUGAAAGUCACCCAAUAAAAAACUACUUCAGUAAAAGUCUAAAAGUAUUUGGUUUUAAAUAUACCUAAGUAUCAAAAGUAAACAACUGCUAAAAUAUAUUUAAGUAUCGAAAGUAAAAGUAUAAAUCAUUUAAAAUUCCUUAUAUUAAGCAAACCAGAUGGCACCAUUUUCUUGUUCUUUUUAUUUAUUUAUGGAUAGUCAGGUGCACACUCUAACACUCAAGACAUCAUUUACAAAGGAAGCAUUUGUGUUUAGUGAGUCUGCUAGAUCAGUAAGGAUGACCAGGGAUUAGUUAUGUGUGAAUUGGAAAAAUGUUCUGUCUUGCUAAGCAUUCAAAAUAUAAUACUUUUGGGUGUAACGGAAAGCAUAGAUUAUAUGAUGAUGUUGAAAUGGUACUGGAAUAGUGGAGGCAGCUCCUGUUUUCUUUGUGACUUGUGAUAACACUCUGUGGUUCUAAAUUAAUAGUUGUUUACUAGUCCGAAAAUGGCGGAAACAUUAACCUGCUUGACCCUGCUGUAGGUCAUUUAAUACCACAUGCUUUGUGGACUUCACCAGACAGCUGUUGCUCUCCGGUUUUGUGAUGAAACAAAGGUGUGGUUGAAUUUGUACUGUCCCAGCCCUGGCUAUACUUCAGCCCAUAAUGGCCUCUCUCAGACCUUCUCCAGGUAACGCCCCACUCAUCUACAUCUCAUACAUGAUCAUACUCUGAAGAUGCUGAUGCUGUAAAAUACGGUUUCUCUAAGCUGCUGGUAUGGAUGUUUGGUUAUUACCUGUGUAUGUGUGGAUGGAUGCUGUGUUUAAUGGGGUGCUGUUGUUUUCUGUAAAUCCUCUCCAUGGCUGUUAUAUAAGGUGUGCUUCUAUUAUUAACCUGUACUCUUACCACUGAUUAGCUGUUCUCUCAAUGCAGGAGGUGGGUAUUUCACUGGGUGCAAUGGGGAGAUUAUGGCUGGUUAGUCCACCUUUGGAACUUAUGUUAUUUUAGUACAUUUUUCUUUCUAUUUGAUAGUCGAGCUAAAUAACUUAAAGUGCAUACAUUAUCCUAAUUUUGUCGUAUUUCAUGUCACUGUUACUGCGCAGUUAGCUGAUUAUGACCAAUUCCCAUCAUUGAAUAAUUGUUGUUUAGAGCCAGGAGUUUUUCCUGACUUUAACAGGAAAAUCUCUUCACCCUAUCUAUAACUUGGGCCCAUAGUUGUUCCUGACCGUCUGGCCAUGAAAAUGAUUAGCCCUUCUCAUUGGUUUCCACUAGUUUCUAUCGUCCCAAGGUCCUGUUCCACAGUCACAACGUCGGGUUCCACAGCCACAAAGUCAAAAUUAGCUACAAAAUUAAUUUUUGGUUUAAAGUUAGUGUUAGGCAUAAGGUUAGGUUGAAAAUCUAAUUUUAAGAAGAUAAAUUGUGGAAAUGGGCAUGGUUUGUGACUGUGUCUAUAAAAGCUACUGACGACCCUUUUCAUGUGAUACUCUUCCUGUUGUGAUGCAGUCGGCCAUGUUUUUGGGGAUUGGUCAGCAGUCUGCCUCACCCCUGGUGGCUGGGGGUGCUGACUGGGUUUCUUCUUGAGAGUGUUCCUUGGGCCCCAUAAAAAAGGCUACAUUAAAACACGUAACUUGUUUCAUGAUUUAUAGGUCUGUUGCUUGAAUAUAUAAAUUAUUUUCAGACAAUGCACUUUUCCCAUUAAUUUUAACAUGUAUAGCAGGUUGUGUGUGAAUUGGAAAGAUGUUCUGUCUUGCUAAGCAUUCAAAAUGUAAUACUUUUGGGUGUAACAGAAAAAGUAUAGAGUAAAAAGUAAAUUAUUUUCUUUAGGAAUGUAGUGAAGUAAAAGUUGUCAAAUAUAUGUAAUAUAGUACAGAUACCCCAAAAAGCUACCUAAGUAGUACUUUAAAGUAUGUUUACUUAAGUGCUUUACACCACUGCUUGUAUGUGGUGCAUUUCCACAUCCAGUACCCAGGUCAGGUCUUCUGUCUGAUUCCCUCCUUGGUGGAGUACUGUGGCUAGCAAUAUCCCUGUGAUCCUUCCAUGUCCGUGUUGCCGAGGGUUAAGAGUAUAAAUCGUAGAUUCAUAAUAUUACAUUGUAUUACACUCUCUAAACUUGUUCUAUGGAUUUCUUGGCCAAAAUCUGUUAACUGUUUUUUUUAAUACAUUUUGAGAUCUGGCUGUGGAACCCCUGCAAUAGCUCCGCGCAACCCAUUUGUAGAACCUUUAUACGUUCAUUGUGUGGUCUUGUCGGUUUCCACUCCAAUAUAAGAGAGAUCUCAAAAAUGGAGAAUGCAGUGAUAAGGCUAUAAUAUUUUAGGAUAUGUGGUUUUGGUCUGUGAUAUAGUCUUGAGUGACUUUGAUAUGAAAGUGAAACACUCUUAUACUUUCACAUGUUAUCUUGUUUAGCUGAUUAGGCCAUGUAUCUGAUUCACCUGGGAAUACACUACCCUCCCCAGAACCUGUUUUAUCUCUCUUGUCAUUCUAUAAUUGCAUACAGUUGCAUAACUGUUUGUCUGUGGAUUUUGGUGGGGGAAACAAGGUCUAACACAUUCUAAAAGUUAUCUGAUUACUUUACAUAAUGUGAUGCAUUUCAAAUUGUUUGCUUUUUUACACCCGUUAGUGGAUUUGGUAUUCCACACACCUUUCUUUGUACAUAAAAUAAAAA